UGGGGAAUCUUGCACAAUGGGGGCAACCCUGAUGCAGCGACGCCGCGUGAGUGAUGAAGCCCUUCGGGGUGUAAAGCUCUUUCGGCAGGGACGAUAAUGACGGUACCUGAAGAAGAAGCUGCGGCUAACUACGUGCCAGCAGCCGCGGUAAUACGUAGGCAGCGAGCGUUGUUCGGAGUUACUGGGCGUAAAGCGUGCGUAGGCGGUGGCCCAAGUCUGGUGUGAAAUCUCCCGGCUUAACUGGGAGGGUGCGCCGGAAACUGGGUUGCUGGAGUACCGGAGAGGCAAGCGGAAUUCCUGGUGUAGCGGUGAAAUGCGUAGAUAUCAGGAGGAACACCCGUGGUGUAGACGGCUUGCUGGACGGUCACUGACGCUGAGGCACGAAAGCGUGGGGAGCAAACAG
rnacentral:rRNA from 1 species